AACUUCCCUCAGAAUGGGGAAUACCCCCGCAGAAAUCGGGGAUAAUACCGCAUAAGACCACAUCUCGGCAUCGAGAAGGGGUAAAAGGCGUAAGUCGUUCUGGGAUAGUCCCGCGUCCUAUCAGCUAGUUGGUGAGGUAACGGCCCACCAAGGCUAUGACGGGUAUCCGGCCUGAAAGGGUGUACGGACACACUGGAACAGAGACACGGUCCAGACUCCUACGGGAGGCAGCAGUGGGGAAUGACGGACAAUGGGCGAAAGCCUGAUCCAGCGACGCCGCGUGAAGGAUGAAGGCCUUCGGGUUGUCAACUUCUUUUAGAGGGAACGAAAAAAAUGACGGUACCCUCAGAAAAAGCCACGGCUAACUACGUGCCAGCAGCCGCGGUAAUACGUAGGUGGCGAGCGUUACUCGGAAUUACUAGGCGUAAAGCGCUUGUAGGUGGUUGGAUAAGU
rnacentral:rRNA from 1 species